rnacentral:pre_miRNA from 1 species
ACAACAUUCAGACCGUCGGUCUACCGAGCAAUAUCAACCGCUCGGUGGAAGAUCUUCCCUUUGUCGU